rnacentral:tRNA from 1 species
AGGUUUGUAUUCAAUUAUGAUUCUAAAUUGCAAAUUUAGAGGUGUUAUUUUAUAUCCAAGGCUU